GGGUGGCUAGCUCAAUGGUAGAGCAUCUCGUUUACAUCGAGGAGGUUACAGGUUCGAAUCCUGUGCUACCCACCA
rnacentral:tRNA from 1 species